AAACCAUGGUGAGGACACUUCGAUAAGAGAUCCUUAUAAUUUUCCCAUGCUUCAUAAAGUGACUCAAUUUCUUGUUGGGAAAAAUUAAUAAUGUCAUUUGUCAUUU